rnacentral:rRNA from 1 species
CCUACGGGUGGCAGCAGUCGAGAAUCAUUCACAAUGGGGGAAACCCUGAUGGUGCGACGCCGCGUGGGGGAAUGAAGGUCUUCGGAUUGUAAACCCCUGUCAUGUGGGCGCAAAUUAAAAAGAUAGUACCACAAGAGGAAGAGAUGGCUAACUCUGUGCCAGCAGCCGCGGUAAUACAGAGGUCUCAAGCGUUGUUCGGAAUCACUGGGCGUAAAGCGUGCGUAGGCUGUUUCGUAAGUCGUGUGUGAAAGGCGAGGGCUCAACCCGCGGACGGCACAUGAUACUGCGAGACUAGAGUAAUGGAGGGGGAACCGGAAUUCUCGGUGUAGCAGUGAAAUGCGUAGAGAUCGAGAGGAACACUCGUGGCGAAGGCGGGUUCCUGGACAUUAACUGACGCUGAGGCACGAAGGCCAGGGGAGCGAAAGGGAUUAGAUACCCGGGUAGUC